CUCGUUCUUGUGUCUUGUUUCCUUGUUUGUUUGGUUUGGGUGUUUGGUUAUGGGUUAUGGUUAUGGUUGGUUUGUGCGAUUGAAUGAUGCUAUAGCUGAAAAACUAUGAUUAUGGCAAGUUCUGAGCAACCUGCUUCAAACGUGAUGAAUGGUGGGGAUGUUCUCACAACUGAUGCUAAAAACCUUAUGUGUGACAAGUUGUUAACCUCUGAAGAAGUUGAACAGAAAACACCAGCAGUUUUUCAACAAUUUGUGUCUCCCAGAACUAUAAAUGGUCCGGCAAAUCAGCUUAACAACACCAAAGGAACUAUUAGUUGGAGCUAUAAUGGCCUGGUAGCAUAUGGUUCUAACUACACUGUGGUUGUACUGGACACAGUCAACAUGCAACCAGUUCAAUGUCUUGAUCGCCACAAAUCCAUUGUCAAUAAUGUGGUGUGGAGUCCAAAGGUAAGAAGCAAGCCUGAUGACUCUGCCUCUGUAGAGUUGGUCUCCUCGGACAUGACAGGGCACAUCAUACAUUGGGACAUCACAAUCGGCUCACCACUUGUGGUGCUACAGGAUGGCAACAAGCCAGUACUCGGUAUGGAGUGGGUACCCGGAGAGAGAAAUGACCUGUUACUAGCAACUCUGCACACACCCUACUACCUAGUCAUGUGGGACAUCAACAAACAGACAAAAUUGUGGAAAAAAGGAUUCCUAGACACCAUCUUCUACUUCCAGUUUAACCCUUUUAACGACACUGAAAUCGCUUUUAUGUGCAUGGAUUGUAUCCUAUUUUUGGAUGACUUCAACCCAAGUAAAAUUCCUGCAUCAAACGGAAGAAAGUUUUACAUAUCAAGUCCUAGAAUGGGAGAGACUGAGGAUAGCAAUAGAACUCGAGACAGGUUGAAGAAACUUAUGAAGGGACUUGUAGUUGGAGACAGCAAACCAAGACCUGAUGACACAAUGACAGUGUCAGAAUGUCUGGGACUCAGUUAUCAUCAGUCCCUUCGUCACCACAUGCUCCUGCACUACCCUAGGGAUAUACUCAUCAUUGAUCUGCUCAUCAACCAAACUGUUGGCAUCAUACCUGUGGAGAAGGCUAUGACUCCUUUAGUGCAGGUGAUCCCUGCGAAGCAGCGUGAUGUAUUGUUCUGUCUACACGAGUCUGGCAGUGUUAGUGUGAAGGUGAGACGCAAGACAGGCACAGUGGCGGUGUUACCAUCACCCCUCGACGCCCCGGCUGAGAGCAUCAGUAGUUUGGAUAUGGCGGGUAUGGGUGGCUCAGACGUGUUUCUGAGUUAUGAGCAUCGCUGCCAGAGUGAGGUGAUACGGCAGAUGAAGGGCUCCAAAGUACUAGCCAUUGCUCUAGACCCGAUGACGGAGAAGAAUAUUGUUUUGCUGUUGAACUCUGGGAAGAUCGUUCACCUUGAAUUGGAAGUGUGCGGUUUGAGUGAUAAUGAUUACUUUCCACUUUGUUUGAGUCAGAUGUUCAAACCAAUCACUGAUGACACCAGUGUGGUGCCACCACUCAAACUGAUGACCACAGGGCUGCUAGGCUCAGUGGCGGCCCCCCUCUCUGUCAUCCGAAUGUGUCCUCCACUGACCACUCGGAACCGCUCACACUACCACCCUCUCAUGGCGGGAGGCACUCAGUCUGGCCUAGUACAGAUAUACAACAUGGCUACAGGUGUGAUAGAAAAAGAGUUUGCACUGCACAACCACCCUAUCAAAGGUAUAGAAUGGACUGGCUUGACUAGCUUUUUGUCUUACGCACACUCGUCACUGGGGGGCAAGGUGGUGAAUGAGUUGCUGUUGACAGAUGUUAACUCUGGACAGACCACAACCCUGAGGCACAACAGACCUCCAGAGAACCCCAUAGACAUCCUGCGAGUGUCUCCUCUCAGGCAAUACUUUGUUGUGGUAUACAAGGACGGGCCAUUUGAGUUGUGGGAUCUAAGAAACUUGUCCCUGUUACGGACUAUGCCAAAGAAAUUCCCAUUUGUAACAGCACUGGAAUGGUCACCUGUACACAGUGUCAAGUCACUACAGGCCAAGGCUGUUCCAAGGAAGCCCAGUGAGGAGACAUCCUCCCUAGCAAGUCCCCUCUCUGAGUCUGGCAGUGCUGCCGAGCUUGUAGCUAAGGAAAAUUUGGUAUUCAGUGACACCGAAAGUCACCUUUACCACUUUGCGGUUGAUGGAAAUGUUGUGCGAGAUGGAAUAAAGAUACCUCCAGAGAGUGGUGUGGGAAUGAUCACAUGCAUUGCAUUCAAGAACAACCAGAUAGUCCAGGCUGAUGUGGAUGGCCUGUUGAACAUAUGGGAUCUGAAAUCUCGCACAUCACGUAACUCCCACACUGGCCGGGGAUGGAUCCGCAAGAUACGGUUCUCACCAGGCAAAGGCAACCUCAAGCUCCUCAUACUCUACUCAGAUGGUGUCGAUAUUGUGGAUCUAAAAAAUCAACAGUAUGAGCGACUGGCUCAGCUCAAGUGCCCCAAGGACAUGGUGAAGGUGUUAGAUAUAGACUGGGCAGCCCCUGACACCCCAGUGCUGGCUACAGAGGAUGGCUGUUUACGCAUCAUGGACUGCAAACUCACUCAGACUGCUUCUUCACUGGCUGAUUACACCUUCAAAGAGCCUGUGUGCUGCCCUGCUCUGCUACCUCCACCAGUUUAUUCACAUCUCUCUCUGCUGAUGUGUACAAGACUACUUGGGACUUCCCCUCCGUCUCAAACAUUUACUGUGGAAGAUGGCUUCUCCUUAGAUAAUUUGCAAGAUGUAAAUGAGCAAGUAGAGAUGAUGAGGAUUGAUGCUCUAGAACACAGUGAAGCCUUCACAGUAGACCAGUGUCUCAUCACAGCCAUUCUACUCAGAGACACAAAAGCUGUUUCUUUCUGGACGGUCUGCAAAUACUACCUUCAAGUGACAGCUGCUACAUCUCAAAGAGAAGAGCAAAAACCAAAGCAAGUAGAGCAUUUUGACUCCUACAGUGCCUCGGAUCUGAAGAGAAUCAAUCAGUUCCCUCACUUGCAGCCGUUAGAUACAUGUUACGAUGUCCUUUGUGAUCCAUAUUCCUAUCAGAGGCUUCAACUAGAGAGGGUGAGUGUUCAUGAGUGGCGGAGGGGAGACUACAAACACACACAGAAGGUGGUAGAGAGACUUAUAUUACUGGGAGAAAUGGACAGGGCUGUGCAACUAUUACUGGAGACUGACCUGGACAACCCCAGCUACUACACUGAUGGCAUCAAAGCAUGUUUGGUGGCAACAAUCCAGUCUACGGGAGCAGCUCAGAGUACCAUCAAGUUGGUGGCUACAAACCUUAUAGCCAACGGAAAGAUUUGGGAAGGUGUUCAGUUGCUGUGCCUGAUAGGCAAGGGCUUGGAUGGAUGUCGUUACCUCUCCUCCUACGGACUUUGGGAGUCUGCAGUGUGGCUGGCCAAGAGCACAUUGCCUCCUGUAGAAACUCUAGAGGUCCUCAAGAAAUGGUCAGAUCACCUAAAUGCCAUUGGGGAGAAGGAGUUUGCUGCUCUAGUGCUGGUUUCACAAGGCCAGUGGAACAGAGUCCUAGAGCUGCUGGUGACAAAUGGACAGACAGUGAGGGCCGGGCUACUGCUGUUGGCUCUGCAGGACAUCAGAUAUGCAGUUGAUAAGUCCGUAUUUAUAACAGUACAAUCACAGUUCUGUGAACAGGCAAGAUUAUGUGAACCACUCGCUGAAGCUAUUUCUAAAAUUCAACCCGUCUGUUGAAAGUUGUUAUUCACUCAUUGAUGAUUGAAUUACAAGUAUUUGUUACGAAACAAUAUGCCGUUUGAUUUGCCUUCAACUUUUACAUUCAACUUUAGUGCUGUAGGUGAAAAAUACAAAAAUGAAGUGGAUUUCAUAGAAAAAUCAAUCGCACAAAAUAAAAUUGUAGUUUUUGGAAUCCCUUGGCAGACAGAUACGAGAUUGGUAAAGUUUUGGCUGGAUAUGAAAAAAGUGAAAUAUUGGGCUUGUGAGAUUGACCAGCUGGAUAUUCAAGUGGGACUGCAAGAGGUGUUUUACAUAUGUACUGGUGGUCACACCUUGCUGCCUUAUGUGUUCAUGCAUGGGAGGUAUGUGGGGAGUAGACAUGAGAUAAUGGAGUUGGAGGCUAACAAUGAAUUGGAUAAAUACCUGGACGAAUCCACUGUAACUACUGUGUAAAUACCACUGACUAUUUCACUGACACUUACUACAGGUUACAAAAUAUUUAUGUUCAAAAAUAUUAUCUUUAAUAAGCAGACAAGUAGAAGAUUGAAGUGGUGUAUUUUAAGGCUGUGUUAUGAAAGCUGUUUUCUUAUUAAUCUUGAAUCUUUCUCUUGUAAACUUCAAGCUACGAGUUUCUUAUAUGAACAUUUUAAGAUUAGACUGUGUAAUAUAUAUAUAUGUAUUGCAAUAUGUUAAAGUGUCUAUAUUUAUGUGUAUAUAAAUUUUAUUUAUAGUACUACUUUCAUAUAGCCUAGUGUAUUAUUACAUAUAUUUAAAUGUUUAUAUUAUGGUGUAUAGAACUAUGAAUAAAAUGUUUAUA